UUCUUUUUUGGUAAUGCUUUUGGUUGUCAUAGCUAAGAAUCCAUCAAAGAUUCUUAGAAUUGUAAUUCAAGGUCAUAAAGAUUUAAACCAAGUUUCUUUGAAGAGCUUUAGAGUUUUACCUUCUAAGUUUAGAUCUUUGAUCCACUUUAAUUUUUGUAUAUGAUGUGAAGUAAGGAUCUAACUGCAUUGUUUUGCAGUAGGAUAUCCAGUUGUCUCCCCAUCUGUUGAAGAUGAUUCUUUUCCCACUGAAUGGUCUUGCACCCUUGCUAAAGAUCAGUUGACCAUACACACAUGAAGGUUUAUUUCUGGACGUCCAUUUUAUUCCAAAACAAUCGGAAUUAUUAACUGCUUACAUGUUUCAGGCAUGAUCCUAAGCAUGAAUUCAUUUGCUUCUCACAGUAACUGCGAAGUGGGCACUAUUCUCAUUCCCACGUGGCAGAUGAAGUGGCCAAGAUACAGGGUGUUUUGCCUAAGGCCACAUAAGUAACUACUAAGUGGCAGUGCCAGUGUAAGAAUGUAGGUUGACUAAGUUGAGAGCCUGGGAUCUUAGCCCUUCAUGCUGUAAACAAAAGUUAGCAAUCAAAACUUCAGAAUUCCACUGAAGAGUUCAGUUUAAGCAAACGGAAUGAAGGUCAGAUUAGCCACUAAGGGUUUGAAAAGCAAAACAGGGAGGGACUUCCUCACCAGCUUGCUUUUUGCCGAGUAGCGGCAAUGGACCUGCCUUUUUUGGUUGAAACUCCUACAACCUCCCCCGACGCCCCCUCCCCCGCCAAGUUGAUAAUUUGCACUGGCUGUAAGUCGAAUUUGCACUUAAUUCCUGGGCAGUGCUGAGUGGUGCGACCAAGGGUCGGGCCCACUGCCAGGGCCUCCCGCCGCUUUCGGCCCAGAACUUGGUAGUGGCAAGGCGUCAGUGCGGGACUGGAAGUUGCCCCGGAUGUGGAAACUCUCGCGGGAAGAUGCAUCGUUGCCUCGGUAACCGCGUCGCAAUUGCCGAAGAUGGCGGGGCGCGGUCUUGGUUUCAGAGUCGGUUCAACUCCAGGCUCCUGGGGAGGUCUGGGCUCUGGCGACUAGGACACCUAAGCUCCCUUAUCUUCAGGUCUGAAACUCUCUGCCUCUUUUACAGAGAAGCAGCGUUCCAGGGACUCAGCUCCCGCCACCACUUCAGCAACCCUCUGCACCCGGACACGACCUCCUCGCUUUGGAGGAAGAAUAUAAGCAUUUAAAUGCAGAAUUGCAGGCCAAAACAGCUGACAUGGUUCAACAAGCUGAGGAAAUAAUAACAGACUUGGUCUUGCUGUUGCCCAGGCUAAUGUGAAGUGGCACAAUCACAGAUGACUACACCCUCAACCUUCUGGACUUGCUCUAUGCUCCUGCCUCCUGAGGAUCUGGGAUUACAGGUGCACACCUCUACCCAGCUAAUUUUUUAAAAAUUGUUUUUGUAGAGAUGAAGUCUCACUAUGUUGCCCAGUCUGGUUUCAAACUUCCUGCCUCAAGUGAUCCUCCCACCUCAGCCUUCCAAAGUGCUGGGAUUACAUGCAUGACCUUAUUUGGAGACUGGGUCAUUACAGAGGUCAUCAAGUUAAAAUGGGUUAUUAACGUGGGGCCCUGAUCCCAUAUAACUGGUGUCCUUACUAAAAGGGAAAUUUGUUGCCAGUAAAAGAAAAAGAAAGAAUAAAGUAUUUUUUUCUUGAGACAGGGUCUUGUUCUGUUACCCAGGCUGGAGUGUAAUGAUGUGAUCACAGCUCACUGCAGCCUCAAUCUCCUGGGUUCAAGUGAUCCUUUCACCUCAGCCUCCUGGGUAGCUGUGACUACAGGUGUGUUCCACCAUGCCCAGCUAAUUUUCUGUAUUUUAUGUAGACAUAGUAUCUCACUAUGUUCCACAGGCUGGUCUUGAACUUCUGGGCUCAAGCAAUCCUGCCUCAGCCUCCCAAAGUGCUGGGAUUUAUAGGCAUGAGUCACUGUGUCUGCCCAAAGGGAAAUUUGCACACAGAGACAGACAUGCUUAGAAGGACAAUGGCUAUUAUAAGUCAAAGGCUGCCUGAGCCAGGAGAGAGGCUGGGAUAGAUUCUUCCCCAGAGCCUUUAGAGGGAGCCUGUUCUGCAGACACCUGACUUUACACUUCUGGCCUCCCAACUGCGAGACAACAAUUUUUUAUUUUAUUUAUUUAUUUAUUGAGACAGGGUCUCACUCUGUCCUUCAGGCUGGAGUGCAGUGGUGUGAUCUCAGCUCACUGUAGCCUCAUCCUCCCUGGCUCAAACAGUCGUCCCACCUCAGCUUCCUGAGUAGCUUGAGAGCACAGGCACAUCAGCCAUGCCUGACUUUUUUUUUUCUUUCUGAGGUGGAUUCUUGCUCUGUCUCCCAGUCUGGAAUGCAGUGUUAUGAUGCCAGCUCACUGCAACCUCCAGUUUGUGGGUUUGAGCAGUUCUGCCUCAGCCUCCUGAGUAGCUAGGAUUACAGAUGUGCACCACCACACCCAGCUAAUUUUUAUAGUUUUAGUAGAGAUGGGCUUUCACCAUGUUGGCCACGCUGGUCUCAAAGUCCUGACCUCAUGAUCUGCCUCCCGCAGCCUCCCAAAGUGCUAGGAUUACCGGUGUGAGCUGGAACUCCCAGCCUUAUAUUUUUUUAGUCGAGACGGGGUUUCAUUCUUUUGGCCUGGUUGGUCUUGAACUCCUGACCUCAAGUGAUCCUCUCACUCACACUCCCAAAGUACAGGGAUUACAGACAUGAGCCAUGGCAUCUGGCCUGAGAACAAAUUUUCUUGUUCUAAGCCACUUAGUUUGUGGCACUUUGUUACAGCAUCCCCAACAAAGUUAUACCCAAGGAAUAAUCCAUUUCAUUCUUAAAGGACACCGAAGCUCAUGCCCUCGGUCAUUCAUGAAUGUGUAAUUGGGUUUUGGCCAGGAGCAGAGGCUCAUGCCUGUAAUUCCAGCACUUUGGAAGGCUGAGAUGGGAGGAUCACUUGAAGCCCAGAGUUUGAGGCCAGGCUAGCCAACAUGGUGAGACCCCAUUUCCACACACACAGAAAUAUUAGUUGGGCAUGGUAGCAUGCACUUGUAAUUUCAGCUACUCAGGAGGCUGAGGUGGGAGGGUUGCUUGGGUCUGGGAGUAAGAGGCUUCAGUGAGCUAUGAUUGUAUCACUGCACUGUAGCCUGGACAACACAGGAAGUCUUAUCUAUCUUUAAAAAAAAAAAAGGGCAGGGGUUUUUGUGUUUUUGUUGUUGUUGUUGUUGUUAGUAUUGUUUUUUGAGCGUCUCACACUCUGCCCAGGCUGGAGUGCAGUGGUUCAAUCUCAGCUCACUGCAAUCUCCACCUUCUGUGUUCAAGUGAUUCUCCCACCUCAGCCUCCCAAAUAGCUGGGAUUACAGGCAUGUACCACCACAGCUGGCUCAUUUUUAUAUUUUUAGUAGAGAUGGGGUUUCACUAUGUUGGCCAGGCUGGUCUAAAACUCCUGACCUCAGGAGAUUCACCCGCCUUGUCCUCCCAAAGUGGUGGCAUUACAGGUGUUGGUCACUGUACCUGGUAAAUUUCAUGUUUUGGCUGGGUUGGGUCUGGCAGGUAUAUGGUUAAUAAACCAGGUCUAAAUAAUUUUAGGCUACUGGUGGUUUGGGCGCAUACUGACAACAAUGUUGUGGAUGGUGAUAUUGGCUUUGAACAUGGAAGAAAACAAGAUCUGGUCUUCUUUUUUCACCCAGAUGGUGUCAACGAGCUGACCUAGGCGAUAACAGGACAGGUACAUGAGACCCCAUGUACAUCCUAGGAAAGGGGAUGCCAGCUGCUGGGACCCCAGCCCCCCUGACACCACCCAGCCCACCCGGCCUAUAGCUCUUCCAUGUUCCUUACAGCUUUUGAGAGGUUCGCUAUUCAAAGGAGGACGAAUCAUGGAAAGUACAGGGCUCUAGGGCACAAUUUUGUUAAACAUGACAAGGAAUAUGCUUUGGUUCAAGAAAACUUAUGGCCAGGCACGGUGGCUCAUGCCUAUAAUCCCAGCACUUUAGGAGGCUGAGGUGGGAGGAUCACCAGAGGUCAAGAGUUCGAGGCCAUCAUGGUGAUGGCCUCAAACGUUUCACCUUUCAACAUGGUGAAAUUCCAUCUCUACUAAAAAUAUAAAAAUUAGCCAGGCGUGGUUGCACAUGCCUGUAGUCCCAGCUAUUUAAGAGGCUGAGGCCUGAGAAUCCCAGGAGGUGGAGGUUGCAGUGAGCCGAGACCACACCAUUGUACUCCAGCCUGGGUGACAGAGUGAGACUCUGUCUAAAAAAUAAAAAUAAAAUGAGAAAACCCAUCCUUUUGUUAGGCAUGGGGGUGCAUGCCUGUAAUUCCAGCACUUUGGGAGGCUGAGAUGGGUAGAUCACUUGAGGUCAGGAGUUCAAGAUCAGCCUGGCUAACAUGGCAAAACUUUGUCUCUACUAAAAACACAAAAAUGAACCAGGCAUUGUUGCAUGUGCCUGUAAUCCCAGCUACUUGGGAGACGGAGUGAGGAGAAUUUCUUGAACCCAGAAGGUGGAGGUUGCAGUGAGCUUAGAUCACGCCACUGCACUUCAGACUGGGGGACAGAGCCAGACUCCAUCUUAAAAGAAAAAAAAAAAAGACAACUUGACCCCCACUAGUUUUCUCUAUAAGCAGGCUGAGAGGGAUGACCGUGGAGUUUUUUGUCAGCUUGAACACAAUGGAAUGUCUUCUAAUAUAGGUGACUACUAUAAGCAAUAAAACAGGUCGUGUUUGGCGGCUCUCAUCGGUAAUCCCAGCAGUUUGGGAGGCUGAGACUGGAGGAUCACUUGAGCCCAGAUGUUUGAGACCAGCCCGGGCAAUAGGGUGAAAGCUCAUCUCUACAAAAAAUAGUUAGUCUUGCAUGGUGGUGCACCUGUGUUCCCAGCUACUAGGAGGCUGAAGCAGGAGAACUGCUUGAGCUUGAAAGGUGGAGGCUGCAGUGAGCCAGAAUUUCACCUGGAUGCAGUGAACCUGGACGACAGAGUGAGACCUUGUCUUAAAAAAAAAAAAAAUCCAUUGUAAAGAUAAAACAGGCUAAGUACAGUGGCUCACAGCUUUAAUAUCCAGACUUGGGAGGCUAAGGAAGGAGGACUGCUUGAAGCCAGGAGUUUGAGACCAGCGUGUGUAACAUAGGGGGACCCAGUUUCUACAAAAAACACAAAGAAAUUAGCCAGGCAUAGUGGGACAUUCUUGUAGCCAGCUACUCGGGAGGCUGAGGAGGGAGGAUUGUUUGAAUCCAGGGAAGAUGGAGACUGCAGUGAGCCAUGAUGUCACCUCUGGACUCCAGCCUGUGUGCAUUAGUACAGUCAGAACUCAGCGCAGCCUGCACCUCCACAGAGUGAGACCCCGUCUCAAAAAAAAAAAAAAAAGAAAAAGAAAAAAAAGAAAGAAAAAAGGCUGGGGGCUCAUGCCUGUAAUCCCAGCACUUUGGGAGGCUGAGAGGUGGGCGGAUCACGAGGUCAAGAGUUCGAGACCAUCCUCACCAACAUGGUGAAACUCCAUCGCUACUAAAAUUCCAAAAAAAUUAGGUAGGCAUGGUGGCACCUGCCUGUAGUCCCAGCUACUCGGGAGGCUGAGGCAGGAGAAUUGCUUGAACCCAGGAGGUGAAGAUUGCAGUGAGCCGAGAUUGUGCCAGUGCACUAUAGCCUGGGAUUAGGUGCAUGCCACCAGGCCUGGCUAAUUUUUGUAUUUUAGUAGAGAUGGGGUUUCGUCAUGUUAGCCAGGCUGGUCUCCAACUCCUGACCUCAGGUGAUCAGCCCACCUCGGCCUCCCAAAGUGCUGGGGUUGCAGGUGUGGGCCACCGUGCCCAGCCUGGUUUUUUUUAAGUAUUUUAAUAUAAAACCAAUAAAAAUUCUUGUGCAGCUCAUGGGAUGUAUAAAAACAGGUGGUGGGAUCUCUGUGUCUCCCAUGUAGAUACUAUAUGCCAUGGUUUCCAGAGCCCUGGUUAGAUGUUUGUUUGUUUGAGACAGAAUCUCUCUCUGUUGGCCAGGCUGAUGGAGUGGCAUGAUCUCAGCUCACUGCAACCUCAGCCUCCCAGGAUCAAGCAAUUCUCGUGCCUCAGCCUCCCUGGUAGCUGGGAUUACAGGCACUACCACACCCAGCUAAUUGUAUUUUUAGUAGAGAUGGUGUUUCACUACAUUGGCCAGGUACACUCAAGCUCCUGGCCUCAAGUGAUGUGCCUAUUUUGGCUUCCCAGAAAGCUGGGAUUACAGGCAUGAGUCCUGGCUAGGUACAUUUAAGGUAUAAUGGCAGAUGGAGGCUGAGGUGGGAGGAUCACUUGAGGCCAGGAGAUCAAGGCUAGCCUGGGCAACAUACCAACCAGAGAGAUCCUAUCUCUACAAAAAAUCUUUUUUUUUUUAGUUAACUGGGCAUGUUGGUAGUGCAUACCUAUAUUACUAACUACUUGGAAGGCUGAGGCAGGAGGAUUGCUUGAGCCCAGUAGUUCAAGGUUACAGUGAGCUGUGAUCACACCACUGAAUUCCAGCUCAGAGACAGAGCAAAACCUUCUUUCUAAAAAUUGUAAAAAAAUGUUUUGUUUUUUUUUUGAGACAGAGUCUUGCUACAUCACCCAGGCUGGAGUGCAGUGAUACAAUCUCAGUUCACUGCAAUCUCUGCCUCCUAAGUUCAAACAGUUCUCCAGCCUCAGCUGGGAUUACAGGCAUGCGCCAUUGGGUCUGGCUCAUUUUUGUAUUUUUAGUAGACACUGGGUUUUACCAUGUUGGCCAGGCUAGUCUCCAACUCCUGACCUCAAAUGAUCCAUCCAUUUCGGCCUCCGCAAGUGCUGAUAUUACAGGUGUGAGCCACUGUGCCUGGCCUUGUGAAAAAUGUUAGUGGCAUUUUGAUUAUAAUUGAAUACUUGGAAAAAAAUCAAACUCGCAUGCAUAUGAUUGUUUUUGUCAGGACUAGGGUCCAGGACCUCUUCUAAUGCCUUCACCUUGUAUUCCAGGGCCUUGCAAACAAUAGGUGCUUAGCAAGUGCAAUAGAAGGCACUUCAGACAGUGCUUGAUGUGCAGUGCAUACAUGUCAUCAUUAGGAAGAAAGACGGAGAGAGGAAGAAUAUGGGAAAAUUCAGGGCAAUUGAUCAGGUCGAUCCCAUCAUUGCUAAAAAUCAGAGGAGACCAGGCCGUGCAUGGUGGCUCAUGCCUGUAAUUUCAGCACUUUAGGAGGCUGAGGCAGGUGGAUCACUUGAGGUCAGGAGUUCGAGACCAGCCUGGCCAACAUGGCAAAACCUCAUCUCUACUGAAAAUACAAAAAUUAGCCAGGUGUGGUGUGGCAGGGGCCUGUAAUCCCAGCUACUAAGGAGGCUGAGGUAGGAGAAUCGCUCGAACCUGGGAGGCGUAAAUUGCACUUAGACGAGAUUACACCACCGCACUCCAGCCUGAGGGACAGAGGAAGACUCCACAGCAUAAAAAAGAAAAAAAUUUUUCAGAGAAGACCAAGAUAUCCACAGAUAAUGCACCAUGUCACAUUCCUUGUGCACUUUUCCUGCCUUUUGGUAGACAGCUCCUAACAUCACCAUGAGAUCCUGGUGAAGGAGGGGUGGAUAUUGGGGUUGCUACAGUUUAAUGAACCAUUUUUCCUCCAGAGAGAGAUGCUCAUCUUCUGUCAGAGUCCUUUAAGUGUUUCAACAACCCCUGCUGUGGACUUGUUUACCCUCAGGGCACUUCUCCAUGGAGCCACCAGUUGGCGCCAUUGCUGCAUAAAUGAAACAAACUGACCCAAGAUUAGAAAAUAGUGUUCUAUUUUCUUUGAGCUGGAUGGGGUGGGUCAAACCUGUAAUCCCAGCACUUAGGGAGGCUGAGGUGGGUAGAUCACUUGAGGCCAGGAGUUCGAGACCAGCCUGGCAACAAACCCUGCCUGUACUAAAAAUACAAAAAUUAGCCAGACAUAGUGAUGCACGCCUGUAAUCCCAGCUACUUGGGAGGCUGAGACAGGAGAAUUGGUUAGCCAGCAGAGGUUGCAAUGAGCCAAGAUCGUGACACUGCACUCCAGCCUGGGUAACAGAGCAAGACUCCAUCUCAAAAAAAAAAGUAUUCCUAAGGACUGAAAUGGGAAACUGAGGCAUGCAGACUGGAGUUGGGGUGGGGCUUGGCAAGAGAAUGGGUUCAAGUAAGCUGUGAAGGACUCUCAGAAAGUCACAGCAACUUAAAUAUCAUUUAUUCUACUUCCCACUUUUACAUUUUCCAGAUAUAGAAACCAAAGCUGAGAGGGGGAAGAUAACUAUCCCAAAAGCACCACAUUGGUGGGGAGCAGGGUUAUCAGAGAAAACAUAGGACAUCCAGUGAAGUGAGAGUUUCGGACUCUCAGUGUAUGUCCCAAAUAAUGCACGAGACUUAGACUAAAACCUUAUUCACUCUUUGUCUUCAACUGUAACUGGGCAUCUAUAUGAUGAUUUGCUAAGUCUGACAACCCUCAUGAGGGUAAAAUGAAGAUUAGGAAAAUAAUUAAAUGUAAUAAGCAAGCAUGCAAAAUGAGGACAACUCUGUUCUUAUUUUGCAGACAAGGGAAUUGCAUGUUAGGGAGGUGACUUGCCCCAAGGCCACACUCACAAGUGUCAGAGUCAGGAUUUGAACCCGGUCCUGAUUCCAGUGGUCUCAACUUCACUCUUGUGGCCAGGAACACCCCCCAGUCCUACUCAUGUGUGUGCAUGUUCUGUCUUGAAUAUAACUGUCUCCCCAUCAUGUAAAUGGGCCAUUCCCCUCCCUGACAUUGAAGGACCCCAUCUUCAGCAGGCACCUCCUGACCCAGCAAACCACCAUGGGCCCAGAUCCCUGGGAACUGGUAGCUGCCCUUAUCACAUUCCCAACUCCCCAUCUUAGGGCCCAAGUCUGACCCCCUUCAGGAUCUGCAGGUGUGUUACAGGAAUGGGGACGUGAUCCAGACCCCAAAGGAGGGUUCUUGUUUUUUAGGAAAGCAAGUUUUUUAGGAAAGAAUAGAUUUGCUGUCCAUACUAUCCUUACUUUCCUUAAAACUUGCUUUUUUAGGAAAGAAUAAACUUGCUCUGUGGUUCACACCUGUAAUCCCAGCACUUUGGGAGGCUAAGGCAGGCAAACUUGCUUUUUUAGGAAAGAACAGAUUUGCUGUCCAUAUUAUCUAUUAAGUAAAGAUAGAAUGGCUACUCCAUAGAGCAGCCCAGAGGGCACUUGUGCCCAUCUUUAGGGUUAUUUCUUCAUGACAUGCUGAAUGAGGGAUAGGUGAUUCAUGAUUCCCCUUUUUUAGAUCAUAUAGGGCACUUUCUGAUGUUGCUAUGGCAUUUGUAAACUGUCAUGGCGCUGGUGGCAAUGUAGCAGUGAGGAUGACCAGAGGUCACUCUCCUGGCCAUCUUGGUUUUGGUGGGUUUUAAACUGGCUUCUUUACUGCAGCCUGUUUUAUUGGCAAGGUCUCUGUGAUCUGUUUCCUGUGCUGACCUCCUAUUUCAUCCUGUGACUUACAAUGCCUUCACUGCCUGGGAAUGCAGCCCAGUAGGUCUCAGCCUCCUUUUACCAACUCCUAUUCAAGAUGGAGUUGCUGUGGUUCACACGCCUCUGGCAGCUGGGCUCCUGGGGAUCUCCUGAUAUUCUGUUCCCUCUGUCCCCAGCUCCUGGACCCCUCCAUCCUCACUUCCAUCGCUGUUUUCCUGAGCCUUCUCCCUCUGAAUUUCAUCAUCACCAAGAAGAGGAAUUAUCAACAGGUUCGGCUUUGGGGAAAGGGAUAGACCAGGCAGGAAGUAGGGAGGAAGACACAAGCCCUGGUGUGGGUGAUGGGGAGGGAAGAGCUGAGUGGGAGCCAGUGGGUCUGGCUCUGUUCUUGUCUCUGUGCGUUGCCCAUUGUGCAUACCUGCGCCACUCCUUCCCCAUCGCAAUGGAUGGUGGCUCCUUCCUCCAGUGUUCAGGCCCUAGGCCCUGGGUCAGAUCAAUGUAUUUUUCUCUUUAAUCCCAUCAGUCAGCAGAUUUGCUUGGCGUCACCUUGAAAAUGCAUCCAGCAGCAAGGCCCUGGCUCACUCCCUACUUCUGCCCCCAGCCUCUUUCCAUUCCCAGCCACAGGAGACCUGUGUAAGCAGAAUCCAUUGCACCUUCCUUUGCUCAGACCCACAGUGGCCCCAUUUUCCUCGGUCUGAGCCAUAGGCUCCACAGUGGCCCACCAGGCCCGUCCUGACCUGCCUCAAUUCCUCCAGCCUCAACUUCCACCCAUCUCCCUCCCUUCCCCACUGACCCCUUUUCCCCAUCCUCACAUCUGUCUGAUGUUCACACAUCUCUCCAAGCAUCUGCUUUAGCUGUUCCUUCUGCCUGGACCACCCUCACUCUAGAAGACCGUUGUCACCUCCAGCACCCCCUGCAGUCAGGGCAGCCUCCCUCACCAAUGUCUAGCAAGGAUAUGGCCUGCCCAUUUCUCUCCUCUCAGCAGCUCUCUUCCUUGGCUUGUCCUGGGUUCAUUUUUGCUUUUCCUCAGCACUUCGCUCUUCCUAAAGUUGUCCCAAUGUCCAUCUGUCACUUGGACUGUUUCUCCAGCCUCCUGCAUGGAAGCGCCUGGCAGGGGCUGAUGGCCUUACUCUCCUUAGACUGGAAGCUCCACAGCAGCACGGGCCACUCACUGUGGCAGACUCAGUAUCUAGUUAGUGCUCAGCAUCCAGAAGGUGCUGGAUAAGUGUUUGAGAACUUAAGAAAGGAGGGAAGGGAGAAGGGAAGGAGAGAGCAAGGGAAGAAGGAAGGGAGGGGAGAAAGGAGGGAGGGAAGGAAAGAUAGGAAAGGGGAGGACAGAUGGAGUGAAGGAUAGAGUUGAAAGAGGAAGAGAAGGAAUGAGGGAGGGAAUGAAGAAAGGGAGGAGAGAGAGAAGAAAGAAAGGGCAGGAGAGUGGAAGAAAGGAGUAGAGAAGAAAGAAAGGCGGGAGAGAGGGAGGGAGGGAAGGCAGAUGGAGGGAGGGAACUUAUUUCCUCUCUAGGCCCAGCUGUCCCAAUGUCCAUCUGUCACUUGGACUGUUUCUCCAGCCUCCUGCAUGGCCUCCUCCGGGCACAGUGGCUCAUGCCUGUAAUCCCAGCACUUUGGGAGGUGGAGGCAGGUGGAUCACCUGAGGUCAGUUCAAAACCAGCCUGGCCAACAUGGCAAAAUGCUAUCUCUAUUAAAAAGUAUAAAGAUUAGCUGAGCAUGGUGGCAGGCGCCUAUAAUCCCAGCUACUCCAGAAUCUCAGGUAGGAGAAUCACUUGAACACGGGAGGCAGAGGUUACAGUGAGCCGAGAUUGUGCCACUGCACUCCAGCCUGGUAACAGAGCAAGACUCCAUCUCAAAAAAAUAGCAAAAAACCUCCAGGUACCUGCUUUCUGAUGAUGUCCCCCUCCCCCGGUGAAGCACGGGAGACCCCAAACUCCUGCCUGACACUAAAGUGCCAAGUGACCCUGCCCACACUCUCUUCUGACCAUACUGAGUGUCCUCUGAGUCAUGCUGUUCCCUGUGCCUGGGUUUUUGCUGCCCCCUGUCUCAAAGCCUCCCCUUUCAAUUCUUAGCUCCAUCCCCCAAUCCUCUGCCUGCCCAGUACCCACUUCCUGGUCAUUUAACGUGUAGCUCAGGCUGUAAUCCCAGCCCUUUAGGAGGCUGAGGGCAGAGGAUCACUUGAGCCCAAGAGCUUGAGGCCAGCCCGGGCUACAUAUUGAGACCCUUCCCAACUCCACCAAAAAUGUAAAAGGAAGAAAAAAAGAUGUAGCUCAGGCAUUACCCACCUCCAGGUAGCCUUCCUGAUGGUGCCAUACCCAGGUGGGCUCAGGGGCACCCUCUGUUCUCCAGACAUCAGAAGCUGCCUCCCCAGGGCAAUUGUCCCAGGUCAGCUCCUGUAGGAGCCCAGGCACAGGAUAACGGUGGAUGGAUCAGGACUGAGGGUCAGAGAUGUGGAGAGGUAGACAGCUUUGGGACGCAGUUGGUGAGAUCAGUGGAAUUUGCUGCAGGGUGGCUGUUAGGGUGCAGGGGAGAAUUCUGGACCAGCCCUGUCUUCAUCUCUCUCUUCCCUCCAAUCCCAGGAGAGCAAAUGAGGCAGAAGGACUCGUGGGCCCGGCUCACCAGCUCCAUCCUCAGGAACUCGAGGACCAUCAAGUUCCAUGGCUGGGAGGGAGCCUUUCUGGACAGAGUCCUGGGCAUCCGGGGCCAGGGGCUGAGUGCCUUGUGGACCUCCAGCCUCCUCUUCGUUGUGUUGCUGGUGUCCUUCCAAGCGUCUACAUUUCUGUGAUGUCACUCUAGUCUCUGUUCCGAGCUGGACUGGGGAAGGAAUGUGGGGGUCAGGGGGUGAGGUAGGUGGAGCCUCCCAGAUUCUACCACCCUGUCCAUCAAAACCCACACAUUCUGGAUUCUGUUCUCUCGGAGUUCCUGUAUUCUGCGUGAAUGAAUUAAUCACAUCAUUCUGGUGAAGGUGGCAGUGGCUGAUGAGGUCUGCUAUUCUGAGAGUUCCAGGCUUCUACCGAUGUGAGGAGGAGGGUUCAGGUGCAGGCAGGCUGCAGAGGUAGAAUCUGGGGUCUGAGAGUCUUCCCUGCCGCUGGCCAGCAGAUGUUCACAGCCACCAUCAUUGACGUGAUGAUCCUUGUCCUACCAUUCUGUAAUUUAUUUCCGAUGGCUGUCAGAACAAUCUUCCUAAAGCACAGCUUUUGGAAGAAUUUUAAAAUGUUGAUACAUAGGCCUGGCACAGUGACUCAUGCCUGCCAUCCCAGCUUUUUGGGAGGCUGAGGUGGCUUGAACCCGGGUGGCAGCGAUUGCAGUGAGCCGAGAUUGUGCCACUUCACUCCAGCCUGGGCGACAGAGCAAGACUUCGUCUCAAAAACAAAACAAAAGGACCACAAAUGGCACCAACACUCGGAGCCCUCCCAUGCUGCUCUCUCCCCAGGAGUCCCCAGGCUCAGCCCUCAUUUCUAUCACCUUCACAGAGAGGCCUUUUCUGACCACCUUCUCCAGCAUGACAGCACCUCUGCUCGUGCUAGUGCACUCUACACCUGCACCUGAUUUCUCUUUAGUUAUUUAUUUUUUGAAGACAGUGUCUUGCUCUAUUCCCCAGGCUGGAGUGUAGUGGUGCAAUGUCGGCUCACUGCAACCUCCACCUCCUGAGUUCAAGCAAUCCUCCCACCUCAGCUUCCUCAGUAGCUAGGAUUUCAGGGAGGUGCCACCACGCCUGGCUCAUUUUUUUUUUUUUGGUACUUUUAGUAGAGAUGGCAUUUCACCAUGUUGGCCAGGCUGGUCUUGAACUCCUAACCUCAAGGGAUCCAUCCACCUCAGCCUCCUAAAGUGCUGGGAUUACAGGUGUGAGCCACCACACCUGGUUGCACCUGCUUUAGUAUUUAUUCUUCAUAGCGCUUUCCACCUGAUGUGCUGUCUGUGUUAAUGGUUUGUUUAUGGAUCACCUGUCUCUUUCCCCCUCAUUAGAAUGAUGGAUCCAUUAAGAGAGCAGCAACUUUGUUUUACUCAUUGCUGUUUCCCCAGAGCCUGGAACCCCACUGGAUAUAUGAUAACCAGGCAGUAGUUAUUAGUGGAAUGAAUGAAUGUAAGAAGGAACGAAUGGCCAGGUGCUGUGGCUCAUGCCUGUAAUCCCAGCACUUUGGGAGGCUGGAGUGGGUGGAUUGCUUGAGAUCAGGAGUUUGAGACCUACCUGGACAACAUGGUGAAACCCCAUCCCUACUAAAAAUACAAAAGUUAGCUGGGAAUGGUGGCGCAUACCUGUAAUCUCAGCUACUUGGGAGGCUGAGGCAGGAGAAUUUGCCUGCACCCAGGAGGUGGAGGUUGCAGUGAGUCAAGAUCGUGCCACUGCACUCUAGCCUGGCAGAAAGAGACUGUCUCAGAAAUAAAAAGAAAUAAUUAAAAGAGAAUGAAUGAAAUACAAGAAGGCCUAGAUAGAAGGAAUAAGUUACAAUAAUCAAUAGUGCACAAGGGAAAUUACAGUGAAUGAGAAUUUAUUUGAAUAUUUCAAGAUAGCUAGAAGAGAAGGAUUUUCAUGUUCCCAAAACAAAAGAUAAAUAUUUGAGGUGAUGACUGUCUCAGUUACCCUGAUUUGAUCAUUACCUAUUGUCUACAGCUGGGGUCCCCUGGCCACGGAUCAGUAGCAGUCUGUAGUCUGUCUUUGUUUUUGAGACAUAGUCUCACUCUGUGCAGUGGUGCGAUCUUGGGUCAAUGUAACCUCCACCUCCAAGGUUCAAGCAAUUCUCCUGCCUCAGCAUGCUGAGUAGCUGGGAUUACAGGCAUGCACCACCACACCUGGCUAAAUUUUGUAUUUUUAGUAGAGACAGGGUUUCACCAUGUUGGCCAGGCUGGUCCCGAACUCCUUACUUCAGGUGAUUUGCCCUCCUCAUUCUCUCAAAGUGCUGAGAUUACAAGUGUGAGCCAUUGUGCCCCGCCUUUUUUUUUUUUUUUUUUUUUUCUUUUUGACAUGGAGUUUCACUCUUGUUGCCCAGGCUGAAAUGCAAUGGUAUGAUCUUGGCUCACUGCAACCUCCGUCUCUCGGAUUCAAGUGACUUGCCUGCCUCAGACUCCCAAGUAGCUGGGAUUACAGGUAUGAGCCACCACGCCAGGCUAAUUUUUGUAUUUCUAGUAGAGAUAGAGUGUCUCUGUGUUGGUCAGGUUGGUCUCGAACUCCCAACCUCAGGUGAUCCACCCGCCUCAGUCUCCCAAAGUGCUGGGAUUACAGGUGUGAGCCUCCACACCCAGCUCACUUGUUAGGAACUGGGCAGGCAGCACAGCAGGUGAGCAGCUGGCAGGCAAGGGAGGCUUCAUCUAUGUUCACAGCCACUCCUUAUUACUGGCAUCACCGCCUGAGCUCCACCUCCUGUCAGAUCGGUGGCAGUGUUAAGAGUCUCAUAGAAGCACAAACCCUAGUGUAAACAGCACAUGCGGGGGAGCUGGGCUGCGUGCUCCUUAUGAGAAUCGAAUGCCUGUUGAUCUGUCACUGUCUCCUGUCACCCCCAGAAAGGACCAUCUAGUUUCAGGAAAACAAGCUGAGGGAUACACUGAUUCUACAUUAUGGUGAGUUCUGUAAGUAUUUCAUUACAUAUUUCAAUGUAAUAAUAAUAGAAAUAGGCCGGGCGCAGUGGCUCAUGCCUGCCAUCCCAGCACUUCGGGAGGCUGAGGCAGGCGGAUCUCCUGAGGUUGGGAGUUCAAGACUAGCAUGGCCAACAUGGUGAAACCCUGUCUCUACUAAAAGUAUAAAACUAGCCAGGCAUGGUGGCAGGAACCUGUAAUCCCAGCUACUUGGGAGGCCGAAGCAGGAGAAUUGCUUGAACCCAGGAGCAGAGGUUGCAGUGAGCCAAGAUUGCAGCAUUUUGGGAGGCUGAAGUGGGCAGAUGUCCUGAAAUCAGCAGUUUGAGACCAGCCUGGUCCAGUGGUGAAACUUCGUAUCUAAUAAAAAUACAAAAAUUGGCUGGGUGUGGUGCGUAUAAUCCAAGCUACUUGGAAGGCUGAGGCAAAAGAGUUGCUUGAACCCAAGAGGAGGAGGCGGCAGUCAUGUCCCUGCAUUCCAGCCUGGGUGAUAGAGCAUGAUUCUGUCUCAAAAAAAAAAAAAAAAAAGCAAA